UACGGUGAAUGCGUUCCCGGACCUUGUACACACCGCCCGUCAAGCCAUGGAAGCUGGGUGUACCUAAAGUCGGUAACCGUAAGGAGCCGCCUAGGGUAAAACUAGUAACUGGGGCU
rnacentral:rRNA from 1 species